GCCUAGUUAGCUUAGUUGGUAGUGCAUCUGCCUUGUAAGCGCUAGGCCGCGGGUUUGAUUCCCACCCGAGGCA
rnacentral:tRNA from 1 species